rnacentral:rRNA from 1 species
AUUGAACGCUGGCGGCAUGCCUUACACAUGCAAGUCGAACGGUAACGCGGGGCAACCUGGCGACGAGUGGCGAACGGGUGAGUAACGCAUCGGAACGUGCCCAGUAGUGGGGGACAGCCCGGCGAAAGCCGGAUUAAUACCGCAUACGACCUACGGGUGAAAGCGGGGGAUCGCAAGACCUCGCGCUAUUGGAGCGGCCGAUGUCAGAUUAGGUAGUUGGUGGGGUAAAGGCCUACCAAGCCGACGAUCUGUAGCUGGUCUGAGAGGACGACCAGCCACACUGGGACUGAGACACGGCCCAGACUCCUACGGGAGGCAGCAGUGGGGAAUUUUGGACAAUGGGGGCAACCCUGAUCCAGCCAUUCCGCGUGAGUGAAGAAGGCCUUCGGGUCGUAAAGCUCUUUUGUCCGGGAAGAAACGGUUUCACCUAAUACGUGAGACUACUGACGGUACCGGAAGAAUAAGGACCGGCUAACUACGUGCCAGCCGCCGCAGUAAAAC